rnacentral:rRNA from 1 species
UACGUAGGGCGCAAGCGUUAUCCGGAAUUAUUGGGCGUAAAGAGCUCGUAGGCGGUUUGUCGCGUCUGCCGUGAAAGACCGGGGCUCAACUCCGGAUCUGCGGUGGGUACGGGCAGACUAGAGUGAUGUAGGGGAGACUGGAAUUCCUGGUGUAGCGGUGAAAUGCGCAGAUAUCAGGAGGAACACCGAUGGCGAAGGCAGGUCUCUGGGCAUUAACUGACGCUGAGGAGCGAAAGCCAGGGUAGCGAACGGG